AUUGAACGCUGGCGGCAGGCCUAACACAUGCAAGUCGAGCGGAUGAAGGGAGCUUGCUCCUGGAUUCAGCGGCGGACGGGUGAGUAAUGCCUAGGAAUCUGCCUGGUAGUGGGGGAUAACGUCCGGAAACGGGCGCUAAUACCGCAUACGUCCUGAGGGAGAAAGUGGGGGAUCUUCGGACCUCACGCUAUCAGAUGAGCCUAGGUCGGAUUAGCUAGUUGGUGGGGUAAAGGCCUACCAAGGCGACGAUCCGUAACUGGUCUGAGAGGAUGAUCAGUCAAUCUGGAACUGAGACACGGCCCAGACUCCUACGGGAGGCAGCAGUGGGGAAUAUUGGAAAAUGGGCGAAAGCCUGAUCCAGCCAUGCCGCGUGUGUGAAGAAGGUCUUCGGAUUGUAAAGCACUUUAAGUUGGGAGGAAGGGCAGUAAGUUAAAACCUUGCUGUUUUGACGUUACCAACAGAAUAAGCACCGGCAAACUUCGU
rnacentral:rRNA from 1 species